rnacentral:snoRNA from 1 species
ACUCCCGUUCUUGGCAGGCCCCGGCCGUCCCGUGCCCGGGUCUGUGAUGUCCGGAGGUAGAGCAGCGACUCUUUCAUGGGCACCCCCUUGCCGUGAGGAAAGAG